rnacentral:lncRNA from 1 species
AGUCUGUAUACUCUUGGGUGCAAGCUGCCUCUAUAUUCCAGUACCUCUUAUGAUGCUACCUGUGUAACUGUAAACAGACAUCUAACAUAUGGUCUGAAAAUUAGACGUAAAGUACCUAUGAAAAUGGCUCCUAAAUGCAAGACUGUGAAGACCAAUGAUACAAUAAGCAGAAUAAAUCAUCUAUUGAUAAAUCUCUCAGUCAACAGAAAGCUCCAUUUGACUGUACAGUGAAAAGUGUAUAAUUUCUGCUUUUCCUUAAAAAGAUACACAUGUGUUAUGAAUCUCUUUUGUUGGGUAUCACAAUACAGUAAAAAAAAAAAAGAAAAGAACAAUAUUAUACAAUGUUAUUAAAAAAGUUGAUCAAAUUAUAUAACAAUUCUGCCCACACACAUUCACUGUACUGUACUCAGUACAGACCCAUACAAGAUCACAAAAUAUGCAAUUUAUAGAACCUGCCAUAAAUAACUGUCUAACAAUAGUGCUCUUAAAAUAUGUAUUUAGAGAAAGAAUACAAGGCCAAAUUUUGUGCCCAGCACUUAAUUUUUAAAGUGAAAUAUUUUCUACAUUUUACUCAUCCAGGAGAUUACUGGUUUUCUAUCGAGUAAUGCAUUUUGCUGCUGCUUUUGUGUAACAAUUAUGAAGAAAUGUGCUUCUAUUUGAAUUUUUUGAAUCUUUCAAUGAUUAUGCAGUUUUCAA